rnacentral:rRNA from 1 species
CCUACGGGAGGCUGCAGUGAGGAAUAUUGGUCAAUGGACGAGAGUCUGAACCAGCCAAGUAGCGUGAAGGAUGACUGCCCUAUGGGUUGUAAACUUCUUUUAUAUGGGAAUAAAACGUUCCACGUGUGGGAUUUUGUAUGUACCAUAUGAAUAAGGAUCGGCUAACUCCGUGCCAGCAGCCGCGGUAAUACGGAGGAUCCGAGCGUUAUCCGGAUUUAUUGGGUUUAAAGGGAGCGUAGCUGGAUUGUUAAGUCAGUUGUGAAAGUUUGCGGCUCAACCGUAAAAUUGCAGUUGAAACUGGCAGUCUUGAGUACAGUAGAGGUGGGCGGAAUUCGUGGUGUAGCGGUGAAAUGCUUAGAUAUCACGAAGAACUCCGAUUGCGAAGGCAGUUCACUGGACUGCAACUGACACUGAGGCUCGAAAGUGUGGGUAUCAAACAGGAUUAGAUACCCGUGUAGUC